AACCAACAAGAGAAAAUAAAGAAAGGGAAAGAGAAAACGCAAUGCAUGCUGUUUCUGAACCCACCUAUAAACCUCAUUCCCUCCUUUUCAACACUUUCUGUUCAUUCCUUUUCCAAAUUUUCCUCAAAACCCUAACCAAAACUGCACAAUCCCCUUCUUCCACGCUACCCUUCCGAUUUUUCUCUCUGUUUUCUUUUCCACUCUAAUUUUCGAGAGUGGUUGCUUUACUCGCACUCUUUUUUUGGUACAGUAUUUCAAUUUAGCUUUCAAAUUCCUUCUCAAUCGAUACUCUUCCCUCCCUGCUUCAAUGAUUCUCGAUUUCGACAGUGUCUUGUUUUAUCAUCCCUAUGAGAGUUUUUACGAAAUGUUGUUAACUUUUUUCACGUAAUCAUUUAUUGCAUUGGCCGUUUCGUGAUGGAAGAUAAUGAAGUCGUUGAUGAUCAGAACACAGGGUGGUUCCAAGUUAAAAAGAAGCACAGAAAUACUUCGAAAUUCUCUUUGCAGAGUUGGGUGGGAGGAUUUUCGGGCAAAAAGGCCUCUAACUCUUUGCACACUCAGCAUUGCAUUACUAAAACCGAUGACAGUUCACGUAGCCAGCAGAAAAAUAAUCCUUCAAGGUCAGGGGAAAAUUUUUCACAGAACCCUGCCUCUGGGAGUGUGUCGAGUUCUCUUGCUGAAUCAAAUGAAAAAGAGAGCACAAACUGUUUUAAUACAGGCGUAGUUAGACAUAAUGCAGAAAGUCAGAACUCAACUGCAUUAAUUACUGUUGAUUCUCAAGGUAAACAUGAAGAAGUUAGGAAACUACAGCAAACUGAUAAGCCUGACUUAGCCCAGAAAAUAAGAUGGGGUGAUUUAGAGGAGGGGGGCUUGGCACUGCCCCAUGAAAACUUGAUUGGGGUUGGGAUCAAGUUCGGUAGUAUUGGAGAUGAUAGUUUGCUUAGCUGUAGAAAGAAUGAGAAUAUUCCUGAACCUUGUGAUUCAUAUCAUGCUCAAGAAAAAGACUUAAUGGUGAAUGCUAUCAAUGGAGGGUCUGCUUCUGAUCAGAUCCCUUUGAUGAGACAUGAAGAUGAAAUACUUGGGGAGAAUGGUAAAGAUGUUAAGAAUUUAUCUUUGGAACAUUUUAACAAUCAACAAAUGGUUGAUGAAAGAAUUAUUGGUCCACAAGAUGAGAACAAUGUCGAAGGGAAUAAAACAACAACCCAUGGUGCCGUAAACAAUGACAGUCUGUCCACCAAAGAUGCUGCCGAGGUCACAAGUCAUGCACAUGCCUCUUCUAACAAUUUGGUAAGUGAUAAAAAAAUGUGUGUAGUGCCAGAACAAAAUGGCAGUUUAAGUGAAGCAGUUACUGCCCACUCUACUGAGUCACAAGUGCCUGAAAUUGUCAAUGAUUCUGUGGUUUCUACUGAAGCCGGCAGGGUUUCACUGGAUGGUAAUGUGGAAAAUGUUGUUUCAACCUCUCAAAAUAUGGGUUCUCUUGAAGAAGGUGAUUCCAAUGAAAGCAAAGAAAGGUUUAGGCAGAGGCUUUGGUGCUUUCUGUUUGAGAAUCUUAAUAGGUCUGUCGAUGAACUUUAUCUUCUUUGUGAACUAGAAUGUGAUUUGGAGCAGAUGAAAGAGGCAAUUCUUGUUCUUGAGGAGUCUGCAUCUGAUUUUAGAGAGCUAAUCACUAGAGUAGAGGAAUUUGAAAUGGUUAAAAAAUCUUCCCAAAUAAUGGAUGGCGUUCCUGUCAUCUUGAAGAGUGAUCACCGCAGGCCACAUGCUCUCUCAUGGGAGGUCCGAAGAAUGACAACUUCACCACAUAGGGCAGAUAUACUAUCUUCAUCUCUUGAGGCUUUUAGAAAGAUUCAACAAGAGAGGGCUAUCUUGCAAUCAGGUACCACAGAAAGUUCCAUGUCUUUGACUUCUGAAUCUAUUGGCAACACAAACAAGUCUAGGGUCAUUAAUGGGACAGAUGCUGCCAAAUAUUUGGUGACGAAGUCAAGAAAGCAUGUUGGAUCUUCAGAUGACAGACAAGGUAGCCUGAAUGAAAAAGAGCAUAUUAUUGAAGGGGGAAAAUCCCGUGACUCAAACACAAUGCUAAAUGGAUGUAACCCUCCAGAAAACAUAUUAAUUUCAGAAGUUAAGUUAUCUAAAUUACCUUCCUUGGAAAAUUCUUUUGCUUCUGCCACCACCAAGGGUAAAAGAAAUCACCUUGGUUCUGGACUGGACAAGACGCUUUAUAAGAAAGAUAAAGCUCUAACAGAAGGUGUUAAUGAGAAACCCCCCAGAUCCACAGAUAACAUUAGGAGGCAAAUGCCACUGCCUGAAAAAGAUAAGGAGAAAAGGAGUACUGCCCCGGGAAAGUCUCUGAAUGCUUGGAAGGAAAAGAGGAACUGGGAGGACAUACUUUCAUCUCCGUUUCGUGUCUCUUCCCGCAUGCCAUAUUCACCAAGCCUGGGCCGGAAAAGUGCUGAGCGAGUACGUACUCUGCAUGAUAAACUAAUGUCUCCUGACAAAAAGAAGAAAACAACUUCAGACUUAAAAAGGGAAGCAGAAGAAAAGCAUGCCCGUGCUAUGAGAAUCAGAAGUGAGUUAGAGAAUGAAAGAGUCCAAAAGCUUCAACGAACAUCACAAAAAUUAAAUCGUGUCACAGAAUGGCAUGCUGUUCGUCAUAUGAAGUUACGAGAGGGCAUGUAUGCGCGCCAUCAGCGCAGUGAAUCUCGUCAUGAAGCUUUCUUAGCUCAAGUGGUGAAGAGAGCUGGUGAUGAAAGUAGCAAGGUUAAUGAGGUUCGGUUUAUUACUUCCUUAAAUGAAGAGAAUAAAAAAUUGAUUCUGCGUCAGAAACUUCAUGAAUCAGAGUUGAGGAGAGCUGAAAAGCUUCAAGUGCUGAAAUCUAAGCAAAAGGAGGAUUUGGCAAGAGAAGAAGCUGUUAUAGAGCGUCGAAAACUCAUUGAAGCUGAGAAGUUACAGCGCCUUACUGAGAUUCAGCGGAGAAAGGAGGAGGCUCAAGUAAGACGGGAAGAGGAAAGAAAAGCGUCAAGUGCAGCUCGGGAAGCAAGGGCAAUCGAACAACUUAGGAGAAAGGAAGAAAGAGCCAAAGCACAACAAGAGGAAGCUGAACUUUUGGCCCAGAAAUUAGCAGAGAGACUUAAUGAGAGUGAACAGCGUCGUAAGAUUUACCUGGAACAAAUUCGGGAGAGGGCAAAUUUGAGGGAUCAAUCGUCCCCUUUGCUGCGGAGAUCAUUAAAUAAGGAAGGGCAAGGUAGAUCUACCCCUACAAACAGCAUCGAUGAUUCUCAAACAAAUGUUUCUGGCAUUGGUUCUACUAGUCUUGGAAUUGGCAAUAUCACAUUGCUGCACUCAAUGAAGAGAAGAAUUAAGAGAAUUCGGCAAAGGCUUAUGGCUUUAAAGUAUGACUUCCUUGAACCCCCUCUUGGUGGUGAAAGUGCUAGUCUGGGAUAUAGAGUAGCAGUUGGUGCUGCUAGAGCAAAAGUUGGCCGGUGGCUUCAAGAACUUCAAAGACUUAGGCAAGCAAGAAAAGAAGGGGCCGCAAGUAUAGGUUUAAUAAUUUCUGAAAUGAUCAAGUAUUUGGAAGGAAAGGAUCCCGAGUUACAAGCAUCUCGUCAAGCUGGACUACUUGAUUUUAUUGCUUCUGCCCUGCCUGCAUCUCACACAUCAAAACCUGAAGCAUGCCAGGUUAUGUUGCACUUGUUAAAACUUCUGAGAGUUGUGCUGUCUACACCUUCAAAUAGAAGUUAUUUCCUUGCACAGAAUCUUCUGCCUCCAAUUAUCCCAAUGCUUUCUGCAGCUCUUGAGAAUUAUAUAAAGAUUGCAGCAUCUUUAGGUGUUCCUGGUAACUUAAGUUUGCCAUCAAGUAAAGCAUCAGUUGAAAACUUUGAAUCAAUUUCUGAAAUAUUAAAUAACUUUUUGUGGACUGUUACUGCCAUUUUUGGUCAUAUUAGCUCAGAAGAGAGACAACUUCAGAUGCGGGAUGGCUUAUUGGAGUUACUGAUUUCUUACCAAGUUAUUCACAGGUUAAGAGAUCUUUUUGCACUUCAUGAUAGGCCACAGACGGAAGGGUCAGCAUUUCCUGGCCCUAUUCUCUUAAGCAUACAACUUUUGGUGGUUUUGACCUCCAGAUCUGGAAGAUUGAAUUAUAUUGACUGGGAGUCUUGCCCUUUGACAAUGGAGCAGGAAAUUGGUAGUGAAGGGACUAAGCUUGCUGAUUCUGCACAUUUUGUCGUGAAUAAUUCCUGGGGAGAUUACACUCCCCUAUCAACGAUCAAUGGAAGCUCAGUUGUGCAUUUACCUGAUGUCCCUGAGGACAGACCAUUAGAUGAAAUGAUUAAGGUGAACAAGAAUAAUGAAUCUAUUUCUAUUGGGAAGGAUUCUGAAUUGGAGCGUGGUAGUUCUGUUAAAUUGAAACAUGAUGAUAUAGAAAAGAUAGAUCUAGAUGAAUCCAAGAAAAAUCAGAGUGGGGAUAUGACUAAUUUGUCUAUUCCCCAAAAGGACGAUAAACAUACAGUGGUAAAUGCUACAAUACAGAAAAACGAAAAAGUAACAAAUUUGGGUCAGCCAGUAGUAUUUCUUCUUUCAGCUAUUUCUGAAACAGGACUUGUCAGUCUCCCUUCUCUUUUGACUGCUGUUCUUCUGCAGGCAAACAAUAGAUCAUCCUCAGAACAGGCCUCAUAUAUCCUUCCAUCUAAUUUUGAAGAGGUGGCAACUGGAGUACUGAAGGUGCUGAACAACGUGGCUCUUUUGGAUCUAGUAUUUUUGCAGCGAAUGCUGGCUAGGCCUGAUUUGAAAAUGGAAAUUUUCCAUUUGAUGAGCUUCCUUCUUUCUCAUUCUGCCAUCAAGUGGAAAUCUCCCACUGAUCAGGUUGGUUCUCUUGUGCUUGAAUCUUUAUCUCUCCUUGGUCACUUUGCCUUGUUUCAUCCGGGAAAUCAGGCUGUUCUUCGAUGGGGACAGAGUCCCACCAUCCUCCACAAGGUUUGCGAUCUGCCAUUCGUUUUCUUCAGUGAUCCAGAGUUGAUGCCGGUCUUGGCUGGCACAUUAGUUGCUGCUUGCUACGGGUGUGAGCAGAACAAGUUUGUAGUUCAACAAGAACUGAGUGUUGACAUGCUACUUUCCUUGCUGAGGUCUUGUAGGAAUGCUGCACCUGCAACUCAGCUUAAUUCCGCCUUAGACAAUUCCACUGCAGAUGAAUCUAGUGAAUACAAUCAAUUAGGUGCCGAAAUAAAAAAACCGCAUGUGGAAAUUCCUGUAAAAUGUGGCCGUUCCAAUGGCAAAGCCACUCGGGCUGCCUCUGGAAAGGGUGGUGCAUCGGGAAAUAACGUAAAAAAUGGCAGAAUAAGAAGCCAACGGGACGCCAAAACAACUAAGCAUUCUGAAGAACUGGCUCCUAAGCACGGCGAGCCUUCGUAUUUAAUGUUGCACUGUAGAUUUCCCCCCAGUUUCAUCGAUAAAGUAGAGCAGUUCUUUUCAGCUGAAAUUGCUAACGGGGUUGAUGAACUCUGAGGUUAAACAUCGUGAACCCAAUUUUUGUUGGUAUUGCACGGAUCUUCACGCGUUAACUGAGUAUGGUCCCUUAUACAUGUUUCACACUGCUAAUACAAGCCACACCAAAAUUCAAAAAGCUGACGUCUCUGAAGAUUAACCUGCCCGAGUUAUAACCAAAGUUCAAGGAAACGGAAAGGAGAAAGAGACGAUACUUUGCAUAAUCUAGAGGCUGCUUGUAAAGCCUAUUUUGCUUUGCUUGUCUGCAUGCAGCUUUGGUCUCUGGCUGGAGGCUGCCUUACGUAUAAAGCCUGCUCCCAGUUCAUCUUUAUACAGUCAAGCAGGUUGGAAAUUAGAAGUUCAAUACUGAAAAGUCUGCACAGAUUUCAAUUUCAAGGAAUGGAAAAUAGACUCCACCAAAGAAGAGUGUCAUUUUCUGAUCCCCAUUCUCCAAAACACCAUGGGUCAAGUGACAAGACUUGGAACUGGCUCCCAAGGAUAACUUCUCACGAUGACCAUGUAAGAGACGACGAGUACGUAACUUCAGUUGCAGCUACGGCAUUUGCGAUUCAUUCUCUAGAAGAAGCAGAGUUACAUGGCUCGCAAAAAAUGAGAGAGCACCCCAAUUCUUCGAGGCCUCAAACGAUGAGAAGAGAAGAGGAUGGCAUAUCAAAGCGGCUAAGUAAUGCAGGGGAAACUUCCAUGAAAAGGUCACUCGGACAAGACCCUAGGACCAAAGAAACUGAUUUUCCUGUUAGACGUCCAAGUAGUACACCGUCUCCAAGACCUGUAUCUCCUGCACUACGGUAUCAGAGGCAGCAAGGGGUUCCAUUACCACACAAAAAUACCAAAACCAGACCAGAAACAUGUGAAAGGGCUCUGAAAAAAAUGAUUCAAAAGCAGUAUGAGAUAAUGAAGUCCAAAAUUCUUUCCUGGGAGUUUGUGAAAACGAUUCAGGCCAGAGUCAAGGGAGCAAGGAAAGUGCAAAAUUACCAUAGUAAGGUGACAAGGGAAGAUAUGAUAGCGCAAGGAGCUAGAGCAGGGUUGCAACGCAGAAGAAAUGAACAACUCGAGACGAGAAAGAACUCGAUCAAAAAUGAAAAACAAGCAAGGUCCCUGUGAAAGCAUAUUGUUGUCUGGCAUGGAAAUAAAAGUAGCUAUCUGUGACUAAAAUGUAAUUCCGGCUUAAACUAUUUUUAUUGAUCAAUAAAAAUGCUUGCAAAAUAAACGAACGUGCACUAACUCAUCAAUUAGAAGUUAGUGUGCUUUUUUAUUUAUUCUGCCACCACUCCAUUGUAUUACCACCUUCCAAUCAUAUAAUCCGAUCUUAAGUUUCUUU